GGCCAGAGCUGCACGUGUAGCUGUGGUUUACUUGCUUGAGAACAUCAUUAUGAGGCUGGGCGUGGCUUCCAAUUGCUGGAGCUUCCUACAGACACACCUGGUUCUUAUCAAUGAAUCACCUGCUGCAUACCACCAUCCUCCGAGCUCCAUCACCUCAGCUUUCCCUCCUGGAUGCCUCGGCCCCAAGCCUCUCCUACCAGCCUCAACCUUCCACCUAAUACCAGCCUCAACCUG